UGAGUCCUGUAGCUCAGUGGUUAGAGCACUCGCUUUGGAAGUGAGAGACCCGAGUUCGAUUCCCGGCAGGUCAG